rnacentral:rRNA from 1 species
AGGACGAACGCUUGCGACGUGCCUAAGAAAUGCAAGUCGAACGGACAGUAGCAAUACUGUUAGUGGCGAACGGUCGCGUAACACGUGGGCAACCUGCCCUGAAGCGGGGGACAACAACUCGAAAGAGUUGCUAAUACCGCAUGUGAAUCGCUGUGGCAUCACAGAGGAUUCAAAGCCGCAAGGCACUUCAGGAUGGGCCCGCGGCCUAUCAGCUAGUUGGUGAGGUAACGGCCCACCAAGGCUUCGACGGGUAGCUGGUCUGAGAGGACGAUCAGCCGGAUUGGGACUGAGAUACGGCCCAGACUCCUACGGGGGGCAGCAAUUAGGAAUCUUGCACAAUGGGCGAAAGCCUGAUGCAGCGACGUCGCGUGAAGGAUGAAAUCUUUCGGGAUGUAAACUUCUUUUUCAGCCAUGAAACAAUGACAGUAGCUGAAGAAUAAGCCCCGGCUAACUACGUGCCAGCAGCCGC